rnacentral:rRNA from 1 species
UACGUAGGGGGCAAGCGUUGUCCGGAUUUAUUGGGCGUAAAGAGCGUGUAGGCGGCCAAGCAGGUCCGCUGUGAAAACUCGAGGCUCAACCUCGAGACGUCGGUGGAAACCGUUUGGCUAGAGUCCGGAAGAGGAGAGUGGAAUUCCCGGUGUAGCGGUGAAAUGCGCAGAUAUCGGGAAGAACACCCGUGGCGAAGGCGGCUCUCUGGGACGGUACUGACGCGUGAGACGCGAAAGCGUGGGGAGCGAACAGG